rnacentral:ncRNA from 1 species
GUUGAUAUUCCGGAACCGAGUAACGGAGACAAAGAGUAGCGCUUUAAUCUCUCUGUGGGGUUGGCGUUCAACUCAAUCGCGCGGUAACGCAAGCGACUCGGAAAAUGACCGUCGUGAGUUUCGAAAAGAGUUUUCUUUUCUUUUAAGGGACGCAUUCCCUGGAACCGGGUUGUCCGGAGAUAGGGAUUCUGGUAUCCAUAAAACGCCGACUUUUUCACGGUGUUCGGAGCGCUCUCGUCGGUACGUGAAAAUCCGAGCGACGCCUGGUAAAUCUCGUACUUGGUCGUACUGAUAUCCGCAGCAGGUCUCCAAGGUGAAUAGCCUCUGGCCGAUAGAAUAAUGUAGGUAAGGGAAGUCGGCAAAACGGAUCCGUAACUUCGGAACAAGGAUUGGCUCUAAGG